CCUACGGGAGGCAGCAGUAGGGAAUCUUCCACAAUGGGCGAAAGCCUGAUGGAGCACCGCCGCGUGGGUGAAGAAGGUCUUCGGAGCGUAAAACCCUGUUGAUAGAGAAGAAAGGGCGGGAGAGUAACUGGUCACGUGUCGACGGUAUCUAACAAGAAAGCCACGGCUAACUACGGGCCAGCAGCCGGGGUAAUACGUAGGUGGCAAGCGUUAUCCGGAUUUAUUGGGCGUAAGGGGAACGCAGGCGGUCUUUUAAGUCUGAUGUGAACGCCUUCGGCUUAACCGGAGUAGUGCAUUGGACACUGGGAGACUUGAGUGCAGCAGCGGCGAGUGGAACUCCAUGUGUAGCGGU
rnacentral:rRNA from 1 species